rnacentral:lncRNA from 1 species
UAAUGUAACGGAUUUCGGCCUCGUUGUUCAACAGUUUGUGUCCCCUCCCCUUUUUCACUUUUUAUCAAGUUAAAUCUCUGUUUAAACCGUAUUGGAUACUUAUAAAUUUUUGAAUAUGUUUCUUUUUAUUAGAAUAAGUUAUCUUAGAUAUUUAUUAUGAACAGUAACUUGAGCAAAGAUAAAUAUAACGUCAAGUCCCACCUGAAACGGAGUCGCCUUUCUAUUUAUUUUUGUAGUGUAAAUACAGAAUUUCCUUAUACUGGACCUACCUUUAUAUAUUUGUUGAUGAUUGUAUUAUGUUGUUUUAAUCUCUAUGUAUAAUUAUAUUGAGUGAAUUAGUUAACCUGGUCAAGUUUCUAGAGACUCAGAGUCUCUCUUUUUCCUUGUAAUGUCCGCCAUGUUUACUUGAGUCGCUUUACCGUAAACCGUCAAAGUGCACUGUCG